rnacentral:tRNA from 1 species
AGAGGAGUGGCAGAAAUUGUGAUUGGCUUGAAACCAUUUUAUGAGAGUUUAACCUCUUUUCCUCUU